AGCAGCCGCGGUAAUUCCAGCUCCAAUAGCGUAUAUUAAAGUUGUUGCAGUUAAAAAGCUCGUAGUUGAAUUUCGGGGUUAGUAGAUUGGUCAUGCCUUUGGUAUGUACUGGUCUUACUGAUUCCUCCUUCCUGAUGAACCGUAAUGCCAUUAAUUUGGUGUUGCGGGGAGACUGGACUGUUACUUUGAAAAAAUUAGAGUGUUUAAAGCAGGCUAACGCUUGAAUACAUUAGCAUGGAAUAAUGAAAUAGGACGUUCGAUCUUAUUUUGUUGGUUUCUAGGAUUGACGUAAUGAUUAAUAGGGAUAGUUGGGGGCAUUAGUAUUCAAUUGUCAGAGGUGAAAUUCUUGGAUUUAUUGAAGACUAACUACUGCGAAAGCAUUUGCCAAGGAUGUUUUCAUUAAUCAAGAACGAAAGUUAGGGGAUCGAAGACGAUCAGAUACCGUCGUAGUCUUAACCAUAAACUAUGCCGACUAGGGAUCGGAUGAUGUUAAUUUUUUAAUGACUCA
rnacentral:rRNA from 1 species